GAAGCGCUCCUCACCCUGGCUUUCUUUGUAAAGCCAUUAAACUACAUUAAGAAGGCUACAGCUGGAGAGGGGAGGAGGAGAGAGCGAAGGAAACAGCCAUGCAUGAAGUAGUAGCGCUCAGAUCGCAGAAAACCGAGGAUGUCUCCAGGAAGGUCCGGAGCAAGCCUAGCGGACAACAGAAGCAGCGCCCCCAGGACUCCACACCUCACCCGCCAGUGGAAUCUCAGGGCUGGUCAGUUGCCUUGGAAACAGUGGAAGCGAAGCUGGACUCCUGCUGCAGACAGGACCUGAGAACCCAGUCCUGAGCAGCCAGGAAAAAGAAGAGCCUGGACCGCCCACAGGCAGUGGUAGCUUGUAUUCAGCCGUUUCUGAACGUGCUUUACUCUUCAGAUAAAACAAAUGUGUGUAUUUUAUCCUAAGGAGUGCGGAAAGGGAUGGAAUGAAGCUUCCCUCCCGUCGUGGUUUGUUAUGUAUCUGCUCUUUUCAAUGAGUCACUUUAUUGUAAUGCUCAAGUGUCUUACUCACUUUGAACUAAUAUCCUGUUUGACUAGUAACUAGUAUCUCGAAGUUCGAGAUGCUCACAAUUAUUCUCAAUGCUUGCUUCUAUUUUAGCGGUUACUUCUCUCCACGCUGGCUUCUCUUUCAACAUAUCAAUUCUGCAUUUAGCACUGUUUACCUUGCAUGCUUUUUGAAAAUUGUUGACAUAAGUUUGCUGCUAUAAAAAGUUUGAGAAGGAAAAAAAAUAAAGCAAACAUUCUUUGGA
rnacentral:sRNA from 1 species